rnacentral:rRNA from 1 species
UACGUAGGUGGCAAGCGUUGUCCGGAUUUACUGGGCGUAAAGGGAGCGCAGGUGGAUAUUUAAGUGGGAUGUGAAAUACCUGAGCUUAACUUGGGUGCUGCAUUCCAAACUGGAUAUCUAGAGUGCAGGAGAGGAAAGUGGAAUUCCUAGUGUAGCGGUGAAAUGCGUAGAGAUUAGGAAGAACACCAGUGGCGAAGGCGACUUUCUGGACUGUAACUGACACUGAGGCUCGAAAGCGUGGGGAGCAAACAGG